AAACCAGCACCUCAAGUGGUCAGGAUGAUUAUUGGGCCUAAAGCAUCCGUAGCCGGCUCUGUAAGUUUUCGGUUAAAUCUGUACGCUCAACGUACAGGCUGCUGGGAAUACUGCAGGGCUAGGGAGUGGGAGAGGUAGACGGUACUCGGGAGGAAGUGGUAAAAUGCUUUGAUCUCUCGAUGACCACCUGUGGCGAAGGCGGUCUACCAGAACACGUCCGACGGUGAGGGAUGAAAGCUGGGGGAGCAAACCGGAUUAGAAACCCGAGUAGUCC
rnacentral:rRNA from 1 species